ensembl:lncRNA
UUUCCUACCAGGUAGAAUUUCCCGAAAGCGAAUUUGAUUUCAGGAAAUGGAAGAGGUACAGAGAAAGAUGUGGAAGAGAAGGCAGCAUAGCUAAAAAAAGAUUUACCCUGAUGAGACUCCAAGAACUAAAAGGAAAUUUUGCAGUUCUCACAGUAAGAAUGGUAAAAUUGACAGCAAACACUGACAUCUUUCCAAACAUUCUGUGCAACUCUCGUCGUCCUCCAAGGAGAACCAGGACGUCUCAGCACAAAAUGUAACCAGGUUACAGCCGCUAACAAGAGGAACUGUGAGACUUGGAAGACAAAAAUGAAGAGGAAGGAAGCCAUAUUCUCAGACAGCAUGGCGGCAAGGCAUGGUGGCUUUCUACAGGUGUCUCUGUGGCUGCCCUCUUCUGGGGCAUGGGGACCAGAAGCAGUGGUUUCUCAGACUCCUGUGUGAGCUCUAGAUCUCCACCCACUCCAGUGCUUCGGGCUGAAGUCAUCAGCGACUGUUUCCCAAUCUGCCAGUCUGCCAAACCUUCACCUCCCUAACUCCUUCCAUAUUUGUGUAAACCUUAAUUCCUCUAUUAUUUUCCUUAUUCCCGUGAUACUUGUAGUGGUUCAGUGUUUUUACCCAAGCUCCAACUGAUAUACCAGAGUACCCUGGCACUUACUCUCAUGUUAUACUUCCCAGCUAAUGUGUUUUCUAACAAAUACUUAUUUGAUGUAGGAUACCCCUAAGCCACAGUCUAAUUCUCUUGAAGCACCCUCAGGGAAAUACACCUGCUUUGGAGCUGCCUGGUUGUAUUUCAUCUUUAAUAUGUAGGGCUCCACUAUUAUGUUUCAUAAAAGUCGAAUGUAUGGUAUGGCAGGUUAAUGACUGCUGGGCCACACUAAAUGAGCAGUCUAGGCCAGAAUAAGCUUAGGGCUUAUUCUUUCCUAAAAUUGUAAGUGGAGGUUUUCAAAGAACAACUGACACUAGCAUUUAAACUAGCUACUGGAUGUUUGAUUCUAUCAUUUCAAUCAUAUUUUACCAUAUCAUCUCAUCAGUUUCUUAUCUUACUUGCCCAAUAGUACAGGACUUUAUUGUCAUAACUGACUUUAAAAUAAAACCUACAAUAAAUCCAAACUUU